rnacentral:rRNA from 1 species
GAUGAACGCUAGCGGCAGGCUUAACACAUACAAGUCGAGGGGUAUAGGGAGCUUGCUUCCUAGAGACCGGCGCACGGGUGCGUAACGCGUAUGCAAUCUACCUUUUGCAGAGGGAUAGCCCAGAGAAAUUUGGAUUAAUACCUCAUAGUAUAGCAGUUUCGCAUGAAACCACUAUUAAAGUCACAACGGCAAAAGAUGAGCAUGCGUCCCAUUAGCUUGUUGGUAAGGUAACGGCUUACCAAGGCAACGAUGGGUAGGGGUCCUGAGAGGGAGAUCCCCCACACUGGUACUGAGACACGGACCAGACUCCUACGGGAGGCAGCAGUGAGGAAUAUUGGACAAUGGGCGCAAGCCUGAUCCAGCCAUGCCGCGUGCAGGAUGACGGUCCUAUGGAUUGUAAACUGCUUUUGUACAGGAAGAAACACUGGUUCGUGAACCGGCUUGACGGUACUGUAAGAAUAAGGAUCGGCUAACUCCGUGCCAGCAG